UUACGGCAAUAUCACAUUGAAACAACGGUUCUCGUACGAUCACUGAAGUUAAGCAACGUAGAGUCUGGUCAGUACCUAGAUGGGUGACCACUUGGGGAUAACAGGU